UUUUCAUUGUUCAUGUGUCAUGGUGAUUCAUGGCCAAGAAUGUUUUUUUGUAGUUUGGAUUCUUUGUGGAUGCCAGUUGUUUGUUCGUAUAAUGAUGACGGGCCCUAUUAUUAUAUGAGCCCACCUGAAGGUGAUCAACUGGUACUCGCAGAAGAUCAACUCUGCACUAAACAUUCUUUAUGUGAUGAUAGAACUGGGGUAUUGAAGUGGUCCCUUUCGCCUUGCUCAAAGUUGCGUAUAUAAAGAAAGGAAGUAGCUACAAAAGAAGAUGGAAAAAGUUUGGUUAUAGCCAACAUCAACAAUAGAAAAGAGGUACAGAUUGUUCAAAUUGUGGUGUAGACUUGCAGUAAAUACGACCUACGACUUCUUCUCACGUGUCCUAAACCUUUGAUCGCUUCGGUAAACGGUCCAACAGCUGGAUUUGGUCUUUCUCUGAUCGCACUGUCUGAUAUAGUCUUUGCUUCAGAAAAGGCAACUUUUCAAACGAAGUUUGUGGAGUGGGGUCAUCCUCCAGUUGGAUGUUGCUCUCUAUCUUUACCUUAUUUAUUUAAUCAUUCACAGGCACAUGUGACUUGUUUAUAUUAAACAGAGGCCUGUGCACAAGGUCAUAUUUUGAAUCGUUAGGUAUUUGAGUUGUAUCCACGCCUAUUGAUCACUUUAUAUAAACAUUAAAAUGUUUUCUUUUCUUGAA